rnacentral:lncRNA from 1 species
UCAACAUGUGGUCCCUCAAACGUGUGGCUCUGACUCUUCUAGAUACCUAUCUAGCCCAGAACUCAAGGGCCAAACUAUUGAGAUCCCCUCGAGCAGUGUGAAAAUCUUGAGAUUAGACACCCAUCAUUAGCUGCAUUUAAUUCUUCCAACGUUUGUAAAAACUCAGUUUUAGCAAUAAUAAAUUUUUUUGUUCCCUCUCAGCUAACAAUGUUGUUUUUGCAUAUUUGAACUUAUGUUUAUA